CUUAUCAAGAGUGACGGAGGGAACGGCCCGAUGAUGUCCGGCAACCUGCAUUUUGCAAGGUGCUAAAUCCGGCGAGCGAAUCGAAAGAUGAGG
rnacentral:ncRNA from 1 species